UCCCAGGGCGGGAAUCCGGCCAAGACGC
rnacentral:sRNA from 1 species